rnacentral:hammerhead_ribozyme from 1 species
AUUCAGCUGACGAGACCCAAAUAGGACUAAAACGUCUGUCCUGGAU